AGGCCAGUAGCUCAAUCUGGCGAGAGCACCGGUUUCCAAAACCGGCGGUUGGGGGUUCGAGUCCCUCCUGGCCUGCCA
rnacentral:tRNA from 1 species